rnacentral:piRNA from 1 species
UCUGAUUACCGCCGUUUAUCAGAGUCGCAGC